rnacentral:rRNA from 1 species
GUGAAUUGCAGAAUUCAGUGAAUCAUCGAAUCUUUGAACGCACAUUGCGCCCAUUAGUAUUCUAGUGGGCAUGCCUAUUCGAGCGUCAUUUCAACCCUUAAGCCUAGUUGCUUAGUGUUGGGAAUCUGCCCUGUAUUUAUAGGGCAGUUCCUUAAAGUGAUCGGCGGAGUUAGGGCAUACUCUAAGCGUAGUAAUAUUCUUCUCGCUUCUGUAGUUGUCCUGGCGGCUUGCCGUUAAACCCCUAUAUUUCUAGUGGUUGACCUCGGAUUAGGUAGGAAUACCCGCUGAACUUAAGCAUAUCAAUAAGCGGAGGAAAAGAAACCAACAGGGAUUGCCCUAGUAACGGCGAGUGAAGCGGCAACAGCUCAAAUUUGAAAUCUGGCCCUAGCGGUCCGAGUUGUAAUUUGUAGAGGAUGCUUUUGGUUAGGUGCCUUCUGAGUUCCCUGGAACGGGACGCCAGAGAGGGUGAGAGCCCCGUACGGUUGGACACCGAGCCUCUAUAUAGCUCCUUCGACGAGUCGAGUAGUUUGGGAAUGCUGCUCUAAAUGGGAGGUAAAUUUCUUCUAAAGCUAAAUACCGGCCAGAGACCGAUAGCGCACAAGUAGAGUGAUCGAAAGAUGAAAAGUACUUUGAAAAGAGGGUUAAAUAGCACGUGAAAUUGUUGAAAGGGAAGCGUUUGCGACCAGACUUUUUCCAGGCGGAUCAUCCGGUGUUCUCACCGGUGCACUUCGCCUGGUUUAGGCCAGCAUCGGUUCUCUUAGGGGGAUAAAGGCCUGGGGAACGUAGCUCCUUCGGGAGUGUUAUAGCCCCUAGCGUAAUACCCUUCGGGGGACCGAGGAACGCG